rnacentral:rRNA from 1 species
GACAGAGGGUGCAAACGUUGUUCGGAAUUACUGGGCGUAAAGCGCGUGUAGGCGGCCCUGCAAGUCGGGUGUGAAAUCCCACGGCUCAACCGUGGAAGUGCACUCGAAACUGCAGGGCUAGAGUCCUGGAGAGGAAGGUGGAAUGCUUGGUGGUAGAGGUGAAAUUCGUAGAUAUCAAGCGGAACACCGGUGGCGAAGGCGGGUCUCUGGGCCGAUACUGACGCUGAGGAGCGAAAGCGUGGGGAGCGAACAGG